rnacentral:misc_RNA from 1 species
GAUGAAGAACGUAGCGAAAUGCGAUAAGUAAUGUGAAUUGCAGAACUCAGUGAAUCAUCGAAUCUUUGAACGCACAUUGCGCCCCUUGGUAUUCCAUGGGGCAUGCCUGUUCGAGCGUCAUUUGUACCUUCAAGCUUUGCUUGGUGUUGGGUGUUUGUCUCGCCUUUGCGUGUAGACUCGCCUUAAAAUAAUUGGCAGCCGGCGUAUUGAUUUCGGAGCGCAGUACAUCUCGCGCUUUGCACUCAUAACGACAGCGUCCAAAAGUACAUUUUACACUCUUGACCUCGGAUCAGGUAGGGAUACCCGCUGAACUUAAGCAUAUCAAUAAGCGGAGGA